AAUCAACGCUGGCGGCGUGCCUAACACAUGCAAGUCGAACGCGAAAGUUCCUUCGGGGAUGAGUAGAGCGGCGUCCGGGUGAGUAACGCGUGGGUAAUCUACCUUCGGGUGGGGAAUAACCAGUCGAAAGAUUGGCUAAUACCGCAUAAAGCAACUGUUUCUAUGAAGUGGUUGUUAAAGGAGCGAUCCGCCUGAAGAGGAGCCUGCGUCUGAUUAGCUAGUUGGCGGGGAACGCCCACCAAGGCUACGAUCAGUAGCUGGUCUGAGAGGACGGCCAGCC
rnacentral:rRNA from 1 species